GACGGGGGGGGCAAGUGUUCUUCGGAAUGACUGGGCGUAAAGGGCACGUAGGCGGUGUAUCGGGUUGAAAGUGAAAGUCGCCAAAAAGUGGCGGAAUGCUCUCGAAACCAAUUCACUUGAGUGAGACAGAGGAGAGUGGAAUUUCGUGUGUAGGGGUGAAAUCCGUAAAUAUACGAAGGAACGCCAAAAGCGAAGGCAGCUCUCUGGGUCCCUACCGACGCUGGGGUGCGAAAGCAUGGGGAGCGAACAGG
rnacentral:rRNA from 1 species